rnacentral:tRNA from 1 species
GGGGUUGUGGCUCAGUGGUAGAGCACUCACUCCCCUAUCACAUGUGAGGCCCUGGGUUCGAUCCUCAGCACCACA